rfam:Ixodes scapularis strain Wikel colony gcontig_1108378500388, whole genome shotgun sequence.
CCCUGGUUAGCUCAGUUGGUAGAGCGCGCCACCUGUAAUGGAGAGGUUCCGGGUUCGAUACCCGGACCAGGCG